AGCAGCCGCGGUAAUUCCAGCUCCAAUAGCGUAUAUUAAAGUUGUUGCAGUUAAAAAGCUCGUAGUUGAAUUUCGGGGUCAGCAGGUCGGUCGUGCCACUGGUAUGAACUGGUCUCGCCGAUCCCUCCCUCUUGAUGAACUGUGAUGCCAUUAAUUUGGUGUCGCAGGGAAUCAGGACUGUUACUUUGAAAAAAUUGAGUGUUUAAAGCAGGCUUAAGCUUGAAUACAUUAGCAUGGAAUAAUGGAAUAGGACGUUUGAUCCUAUUUUGUUGGUUUCUAGGAUUGACGUAAUGAUUAAUAGGGAUAGUUGGGGGCAUUAGUAUUCAAUUGUCAGAGGUGAAAUUCUUGGAUUUAUUGAAGACUAACUACUGCGAAAGCAUUUGCCAAGGAUGUUUUCAUUAAUCAAGAACGAAGUUAGGGGAUCGAAGACGAUCAGAUACCGUCGUAGUCUUAACCAUAAACUAUGCCGACUAGGGAUCAGAUGAUUGUUAAUUUUUANGUACUNUACG
rnacentral:rRNA from 1 species